UAUCUCUGUAGAGUCUGCAUAUCAAUAAGCGGAGGAAAAGAAACUAACUAGGAUUCCCUUAGUAACGGCGAGUGAAGCGGGAAGAGCUCAAAUUUGAAAUCUUCAAGGUUCUACCUCGACGAAUUGUAGUUUAAAGAAGUGUUUUCUGUUGGUAGUUUUGGUAAAAGUUCUUUGGAAUAGGACAUCAUAGAGGGUGAGAAUCCCGUAUUUGACCAUUACUUUCCAGCGUUGUGAUACACUUUCAAAGAGUCGGAUUGUUUGGGAAUGCAGUCCAAAAUGGGUGGUAAAUUUCAUCUAAAGCUAAAUACUGGCGAGAGACCGAUAGCGAACAAGUACCGGUGAGGGAAAGAUGAAAAGGAACUUUGAAAAGAGAGUUAAACAGUACGUGAAAUUGUCAAAAGGGAAGCGUUUGACACCAGUGUUGUUUUCUCGAAAAUCAAUUAAAAAAGGCAGGAUUUUGUGUUGUAUUGACUUUAUCAGCUUUCUGCACUCUUUUCUUGUCUUUUUUAAUGCACUUUUCGUUUAACAAGUCAACAUCAAUUUCUUUUGUUGUAAAAGGGUCAUUGGAAGGUGGCUUUCUUUUCGGAGAAAGUGUCUAUAGCCUUUGGCCUCUGCAAUCGGAGAGAUUGAGGUCUGCAGCGUAGAUCCUUCGGGGUUAGAUACAUUUGUGCUAAGUUAUAGCCUUUCAUAGACAACUUGUUGACUAUGAUCAGUCAUGUAGCUUACUCGCUUAUGCUAUUUUACCUACGCUUAGGAUGUUGAAGUCAUCGUAUCGCGC
rnacentral:rRNA from 1 species